UACAGAGGGGGCAAGCGUUGUUCGGAAUUACUGGGCGUAAAGGGCGCGUAGGCGGCCUUCUAAGUCGAACGUGAAAUCCCUGGGCUUAACCCAGGAACUGCGUCCGAUACUGGAAGGCUUGAAUCCGGGAGAGGGAUGCGGAAUUCCAGGUGUAGCGGUGAAAUGCGUAGAUAUCUGGAGGAACACCGGUGGCGAAGGCGGCAUCCUGGACCGGUAUUGACGCUGAGGCGCGAAAGCCAGGGGAGCAAACGGG
rnacentral:rRNA from 1 species